rnacentral:rRNA from 1 species
AUUGAACGCUGGCGGCAUGCCUUACACAUGCAAGUCGAACGGUAGAAGGAGCAAUCCUUCGAGAGUGGCGAACGGGUGAGUAAUAUAUCGGAACGUGCCCAGUUGUGGGGGAUAACGUAGAGAAAUUUACGCUAAUACCGCAUACGAUCUAAGGAUGAAAGCGGGGGACUCGCAAGAGCCUCGCGCGACUGGAGCGGCUGAUAUCAGAUUAGCUUGUUGGUGAGGUAAAAGCUCACCAAGGCGACGAUCUGUAGCUGGUUUGAGAGAACGACCAGCCACACUGGGACUGAGACACGGCCCAGACUCCUACGGGAGGCAGCAGUGGGGAAUUUUGGACAAUGGGCGCAAGCCUGAUCCAGCAAUGCCGCGUGCAGGAAGAAGGCCUUCGGGUUGUAAACUGCUUUUGUACGGAACGAAACGGCGAGCUCUAAUACAGUUUGCUAAUGACGGUACCGUAAGAAUAAGCACCGGCUAACUACGUGCCAGCAGCCGCGGUAAAAC